rnacentral:rRNA from 1 species
UACAGAGGGUGCAAACGUUGCUCGGAAUCAUUGGGCGUAAAGCGCACGUAGGCGGCCCGGUAAGUCGGAUGUGAAAGCCCUCGGCUCAACCGAGGAAGUGCAUUCGAAACUGCCAGGCUUGAAUAUGGAAGAGGGUCGCGGAAUUCCCGGUGUAGAGGUGAAAUUCGUAGAUAUCGGGAGGAACACCAGUGGCGAAGGCGGCGACCUGGGCAGAUACUGACGCUGAGGUACGAAAGCGUGGGGAGCAAACAGG